CCAAAACACAAACCCUAGGUUACUCCCCCACCGCCGCAAGGGUCUCACUUAACGCCGCCGUCUGUUGUGCUUAUACACCAUUGUGUCUUCGUCCGGUCGUCUGCGGCUCUGCGCUUCUUCCUCGUUCAACAAUUGGGGUGAUGUUAGAGUAAGGAGUUUAGGCUUUUGUGCAGCUCAAUCCCUUGCUUUGUUCUAUAGUAAGGGACCUUUUCAAUAAGGCUCGCGUAGGGGCGCUCAAGUUUUUUGGCCAACAGCCAUCAGCUGUCGGCUCGUUGGUAAGGCGAGAGCUUCAAGCCCGAUUUCAGGUUCAGGUGGCACACCCCCCACACAAGCACCCCCCGACGAAGGGGGGACGGGGAGAAGGCAGUCACUGCACACUCUAUAUCUUACCUCGGGGCCCAAAGUUUAUUCCCUCGCCUUAAUCUUUAAUAGAAUUAAGCCCCUACUAGAUAGAUUCAUUUUAUUGACCUUGAUGUGUUGAACUUGUUAAAAUUGGUUUGAAACUCUGUUAAUUUUUUGUUGAAGCACGUUAAUUAUUGUGCUGAUCUUGUUAAAAUUA